rnacentral:rRNA from 1 species
GAUGAACGCUGACAGAAUGCUUAACACAUGCAAGUCGACUGUGGCGGACGGGUGAGUAACGCGUAAAGGACUUGCCUCACGGAUAGGGACAACAUUUGGAAACGAAUGCUAAUACCUGAUACUGUGAGAGCGCUUUGCGUCCCAUUAGCUAGUUGGAGAGGUAACGGCUCACCAAGGCGAUGAUGGGUAGCCGGCCUGAGAGGGUGAUCGGCCACAAGGGGACUGAGAGACGGCCCUUGGUCCAACGGGAGACAGCGGUGGAGAAGAGUGGACAAUGGACCAAAGUCUGAACCAGGAAUUCUGUGUGUACGAUGAAGUUGUCGGAAUGAAAAGUGCUUGGAGUUGGGAAGCGGUACCAACAGAAGAAGGGACGGCUAAAUACGUGCCAGCAGCCGCGGUAAUAC